UACCUUUCGUCACCGCAAGUGAAUUUGCCCUGCCAGAUUUACCAGUAGAGCUUUGGGCCAACAUCUUGAGGUGUUUGGACCCAUCUUCGCUUCUGACAGCCACCAGAUCCAGCGAUCCAUGGAAACGCAUCGCCCAAGGAGAUCCGGUCUUGAGGAAGACCGUCAAAAACCAGCUAGUAUUGGAAAAACGAAAGCGGCGAGAGGAGAUGCUGAAUCCUGGACUGUUGCUCUCCAUAACCAGAGAAGGAUCGGGAAGACUGUUUGGAUCCAACACCGGCAAAGUUCUUCGGACGCAGUUUUCAGUAAAAGGACCAGUCAAAACCCAGGAAAAAAGAAAACGGCGCCAGAAUAAAGACGCUGGACCUCUUCGAAAAAAAAUAAUUCAUGGGAAUGAAUAUUGUAAAACAUUGAGAUGUUUAUAAAACCAUUGUAAAUAUACGUGUUAUUUUUA